rnacentral:rRNA from 1 species
AGUGAAGGCCAGGCUGAAGACUUUGCCGGAUUAGCUGAGAGGUGGUGCAUGGCCGUCGUCAGUUCGUACUGUGAAGCAUCCUGUUAAGUCAGGCAACGAGCGAGACCCACGCCCACAGUUGCCAGCGUACUCUCCGGAGUGACGGGUACACUGUGGGGACCGCCGCUGCUAAAGCGGAGAGGAAUGGGCAACGGUAGGUCAGUAUGCCCCGAAUAUCCCGGGCUACACGCGAGCUACAAUGGUUGGUACAAUGGGUAUCUACCCCGAAAGGGGACGGAAAUCUCCUAAAACCAAUCUUAGUUCGGAUUGAGGGCUGCAACUCGCCCACAUGAAGCUGGAAUCUGUAGUAAUCGCGUCUCAACAUGGCGCGGUGAAUAUGUCCCUGCUCCUU